GGGGAAUAUUGCACAAUGGGCGCAAGCCUGAUGCAGCGACGCCGCGUGCGGGAUGACGGCCUUCGGGUUGUAAACCGCUUUUGACUGGGAGCAAGCCCUUCGGGGUGAGUGUACCUUUCGAAUAAGCACCGGCUAACUACGUGCCAGCAGCCGCGGUAAUACGUAGGGUGCAAGCGUUAUCCGGAAUUAUUGGGCGUAAAGGGCUCGUAGGCGGUUCGUCGCGUCCGGUGUGAAAGUCCAUCGCUUAACGGUGGAUCCGCGCCGGGUACGGGCGGGCUUGAGUGCGGUAGGGGAGACUGGAAUUCCCGGUGUAACGGUGGAAUGUGUAGAUAUCGGGAAGAACACCAAUGGCGAAGGCAGGUCUCUGGGCCGUCACUGACGCUGAGGAGCGAAAGCGUGGGGAGCGAACAGGAUUAGAUACCCUGGUAGUCCACGCCGUAAACGGUGGAUGCUGGAUGUGGGGACCAUUCCACGGUCUCCGUGUCGGAGCCAACGCGUUAAGCAUCCCGCCUGGGGAGUACGGCCGCAAGGCUAAAACUCAAAGAAAUUGACGGGGGCCCGCACAAGCGGCGGAGCAUGCGGAUUAAUUCGAUGCAACGCGAAGAACCUUACCUGGGCUUGACAUGUUCCCGACAGCCCCAGAGAUGGGGCCUCCCUUCGGGGCGGGUUCACAGGUGGUGCAUGGUCGUCGUCAGCUCGUGUCGUGAGAUGUUGGGUUAAGUCCCGCAACGAGCGCAACCCUCGCCCUGUGUUGCCAGCACGUCGUGGUGGGAACUCACGGGGGACCGCCGGGGUCAACUCGGAGGAAGGUGGGGAUGACGUCAGAUCAUCAUGCCCCUUACGUCCAGGGCUUCACGCAUGCUACAAUGGCCGGUACAGCGAGGUGCGAUAGGGUGACCUGGAGCGGAUCUCUGAAAACCGGUCUCAGUUCGGAUCGGAGCCUGCAACUCGGCUCCGUGAAGGUGGAGUCGCUAGUAAUCGCAGAUCAGCAACGCUGCGGUGAAUGCGUUCCCG
rnacentral:rRNA from 1 species